rnacentral:snRNA from 1 species
GUGCUCGCUUCAGCAACACAUAACUAAAAACUUGGAACAAUGCAGAGAAGAUUAGCAUGGACCCUGUGCAAGGAUGGCAUGCAAAUUCAUGAAGCAUUCCAUAUUUUU